GCUGCCUGGCUCCAGUGUAAAUAGCCUGUAAACAGCCUCUUCUGUCUGUGUCUUUCCACACGCAACAUGCUGGUGGAAGUCAGCUAUCCCCGUCAGCAUGCCCCACGAACUCCGAUUCGCCGAACUCCGAAGUGGUCGGCAUACGAAGCUUGUCACCAUGCCUCCCGGUGACGCGCCCACCUCUGCAACGGCUUCGGCUUGUCCCACUGCUCCAAUCGUCACGGUCGCCCCACAUCGCGACCCGGGUAUGUUCUCUGCCUGGAGGGACAAAAUGUUGACGACUGGAUGAAACUACAUGAACACGCCAGUGCUAAUAAAAGGGGUGCCAAGUGAGUUGCAUGCGCUUUUCUCGGUGCCGCCGGGUUGGAUGAAGAGGCCGUCCUCGCGAAGCCAGCCGGUGACCUCGAUGUCCUCCCGAACGAAGGUGGGCAUCUGGCAGUGCAGAACGGCAGUGUUGC